rnacentral:tRNA from 1 species
GAUUCUAUAUUUAUAAAAUUAAAUUGCAAGUUUAGUGAUAAGCUAAAAAAAGCUUUAGAAUCU